rnacentral:tRNA from 1 species
GGCCGGUUGGCCCAAUGGCAAGGCGUCUGACUACGAUUCUGUAACAAGGACGUGUAAUCAGGAGAUUCUGGGUUCGACCCCCAGGCUGGUCA